UCAGAGUGAACGCUGGCGGCAGGCCUAACACAUGCAAGUCGAACGGCAGCACAGUGGUAGCAAUACCAUGGGUGGCGAGUGGCGGACGGGUGAGGAAUACAUCGGAAUCUACCUUUUCGUGGGGGAUAACGUAGGGAAACUUACGCUAAUACCGCAUACGACCUUAGGGUGAAAGCGGAGGACCUUCGGGCUUCGCGCGGAUAGAUGAGCCGAUGUCGGAUUAGCUAGUUGGCGGGGUAAAGGCCCACCAAGGCGACGAUCCGUAGCUGGUCUGAGAGGAUGAUCAGCCACACUGGAACUGAGACACGGUCCAGACUCCUACGGGAGGCAGCAGUGGGGAAUAUUGGACAAUGGGCGCAAGCCUGAUCCAGCCAUGCCGCGUGGGUGAAGAAGGCCUUCGGGUUGUAAAGCCCUUUUGUUGGGAAAGAAAAGCAGUCGGUUAAUACCCGAUUG
rnacentral:rRNA from 1 species